UCCGGGGUGGUGUAACUGGCUAGCACGCGGUCUUUUGGUGGCCGAAGCGAUUUGGGUUCAAGUCCCUCCCCCGGAG
rnacentral:tRNA from 1 species